rnacentral:lncRNA from 10 species
CUGUCUCCAUUGGCUAGAGCCAGAUGGCACAAUCUAAACUAAAAGUCGACUGGCUAAUAAUUUAAAACUUUUCUAAAUAGAUAAAGGCAAGGGAGAACAGAGGAAAAGAGGAAGUUGCUUAUGCCAAAUAGGGAAGGGGCACAGGCUGUGAGCUGGAACGUGCCUGUGAGCACGUCCAGCACAAAUAUUUUGGUUAAGGUACAAGGACACAGUAGCAGGGACAAGCUGCAUUAAGAGAUAAAAAUG